UGCCCAUGACGCAUCCUUAGUCCUACGGCC
rnacentral:piRNA from 1 species